UGAGUGGUACAUCUAGUACAUUUUGCGAGCAAAGUGGUAGCGUCAUUUAAUUAAUUCAAGUCUCUUUCCUUCAUCUUGACUGAUAAGGUUGUAUCCCACUUCCCCACCCCACCAUGAGGAAUCCCUAUUGGCAACCAGUGACUAGCAUCCUUCUCGACUGGCAACUAGGGACCGGCAUCCAUCCCAAUUGGCAUUCGACGGCAAGCAUCCUUCCCGACCAUUGUUCGACAACGAGGGUUCUUCCUGGCUUCUCAGCUGGCUUCCGAUGACAAGGGUCCUUCCUGAUCGGCAUCUGGCAACGAGUGUCCUUCUCAACCGGUGCUAAAAUGAAGGAUGAUUGGAGCAUUGGAGAUUGUCAUAUGAUAUUAUUGAAUUAAAUUGAACUAUUCUACUUCAUACUUUAUGAAACUUUUCUAAAGAUAUUUGAGUUUAUGGGAUGUGUUUAAGGUUUAUCUUUGGAUGAGAUUAGCUAUAGUGGAUGGUGGUUAUAUUUUUAAUACUAUUUAUGUAUUUAAAAUCCUUGCUCGUAUAUCAUUUAUCUUAUGGGGAUUAUGUUACUUAUUUGAAUCAUUUAUCAUUUAAAUUCUUGCUCUUUUAAUAUUGGACUUCAUAGAUCUAAAAUAAUGUUAUGGUUUUGGUUAUGAUGAAGUCAAAAUAUAGGAGCUCUAGUGAGAAAGUAAGUAUAUAUUUAUUAAUUUUUUGAAUAAUUAUUGUUUAGGAAUAUUGAUGCAUGUUAAUUAACUUUCUUAUUUUCUCAUAUUUAUAUUCAGGCAGUCUUAUUACGAGUAUGGAUGAGCAUACAUGUUAACUAGAGAGGGUGUUGGUGAUCAUUUAAAUUCUUAAUAUGAGCAGCAUCUCGAACUCCUGGAGCUGAGUUCCACCAGGUUUUGAUGAGGUCAUCAAAGCCAGCUGUUGACAUCCAAAUGGUCUCAAAUCUGAAGGGCGUCUUGAGGUUGGCUUAUGUCUGAAUUUAAGAAGUGGACAAUGACCGCACAUUGUUUUUGUAAGGGGAAGUGACAGUGGACUUUGGAAGAUAUCCAACCAAUCAAGUGAGGCCAAACAUCUGUGUAGUUUGCUGAGCGAGGAUGUGUCUCCAUAGUUUGACCAUGUAAAUUGCUGUUGACUAAGCUUUAUUUCGAUUA